GUGAUACUAGUUUAAUUAAAAUAGCAGUUUGUCUCACUGUUGAUAGCUAUGGCUGUAUUGCU
rnacentral:tRNA from 1 species